UACACAAGCUAAAACAAAUUACAAUAUUAAAACAUUAUAAAUACAAACAUAAAAUGAAAAAAAAAAAAAAGGACAAACCCAAAUCCAAACCCAACGUCAUUUUUUCAGUCCACAAGGACACUGAAUCUAACAUCACAGUAAUUGAAACAGUUUUAUCAUUCUAUUUUAUUUUUUUCACUCUAGACUUUAAUUUCAGUGCUCAAUGCAGAAUUUGUACCACUGCCAAAGUAGAAAAGAGACAAGCACAAAAGAAAAAACAAAAGGAGAAGGAGGAAGAAGAAAAGGUGGAUUUCAUAUAGGAAGACUCAAACACAAGCAGAACCCAUGCUGCCUCGAGUUUCUUGCGCCGUCCAUUAAGUUAUAUCUAUCCGAAAACUGAGAUGUGGAUUGGAUUAAACAAGUGUGCUCAGCUCAUGAAUCAGCUGACUCACUGUUGCGAGCGCAGCACAAAUCAUCACUCUCCUCCGACGCCUCCAAAUCCCUUGACAGGACACUACAACAUGUAUCAAACUGCUUGUCUUAUCGCUCUGUUCCAUAUCCGGUCGUGUAUGGGACCAAACGCUUGCCUUUUUCUUUUGUGUAUUUUCGACAGCGAGCGAGAGAGAUAAGGGAGAAGAAAUGCGAGCAUGAGAAAAGGACGCAAAUGGGAUCUGUACAUUGAUGCUUGGAAUGAAAACAACCUUUUACUUGGUCUCACUUUCAAAUGGAUUGUUAAGGUAAACUCUUCUCUAAUGGCUACCUAGCUAGCUACUCUCGAAGGCCUAGCCUUGUUUGUUAGCAGUUGAAUCUGCUCCCUUCAUUAUGAUUUAAGUGAAUCGUUUUUCAAAGAUUUGAUGGGCAAAGACUUAGUUUUAAUUAAUCCAUAAAAAUUAAUCUUAA